GGACAUCUGAAUUUGUUCUGGCAGAGGUGCGUUUGUAAAUUCUCUAAGACGAUCAACACAUCUGAUGCUGGGACUUACUACUGCGCUGUGGCCAUAUUUGGAAACAUAAUAUUUGGGAAUGGAACAAAAGUGGAUGUUGAGUCUACAUGGGAGUCUAAAUUUAUUGAACUGGUGAUAACAAUUACCUGUUUGGUCAUUUCUGUGAUUAUAAAUAUCACUUUCAUCUGCUGCCAAACCCCAAGAUCAUUAUGUAAACUCCUUAAAGGGAAAGAGGCUUCAUUUUCUCAAGCAAAACAAGCUACCUUCAGUCAGUCUGCAGUGUUUACUAAGGAAGAGGACACUGACCUUAACUAUGCUGCUUUACAUUUCUCUGGAGCUAAAAACACAAGAGGAAAGGCUAAAAGAACGACAAAGAAUGAAGAAAGUGUGUAUUCCCAAAUUAACCUCUAAAUUCUUAAUAUCUUCUUGGAAUCUUUUCCUGCACCAUUAGCUCACAGUGGGAGUGAAUAAGAUGUUGAUGUUUUAUUUGUUGUGUUGAAAAAUAAAGAAAAAUAUGUCUAUAGUCUUAUAAGUGUUUUAAA